GAAGCGGCAACAGCUCAAAUUUGAAAUCUGUCUCUUUCAGGGACCGAGUUGUAAUUUGUAGAGGGUGCUUCGGGGUCGGCUCCGGUCUAAGUUCCUUGGAACAGGACGUCACAGAGGGUGAGAAUCCCGUACGUGGCCGGCCGUCUUCCCCAUGUGAAGCCCCUUCGACGAGUCGAGUUGUUUGGGAAUGCAGCUCUAAAUGGGAGGUAUAUUUCUUCUAAAGCUAAAUAUCGGCCGGAGACCGAUAGCGCACAAGUAGAGUGAUCGAAAGAUGAAAAGCACUUUGAAAAGAGAGUCAAAAAGUACGUGAAAUUGUUGAAAGGGAAGCGCUUGCGACCAGACUUGCCCGCAGUUGCUCAACCGGCCUUCUGGCUCGGUGCACUCUUCUGCGGUCAGGCCAGCAUCGGUUCGGGCGGUCGGAUAAAGACCUCGGGAAUGUGGCUCCCCUCGGGGAGUGUUAUAGCCCUUGGUGCAAUGCGGCCAGCCUGGACCGAGGACCGCGCUUCGGCUAGGAUGCUGGCGUAAUGGUCGUAAGCGGCCCGUCUUGAAACACGGACCAAGGAGUCUAACAUCUAUGCGAGUGUUUGGGCGUCAAACCCAUACGCGUAAUGAAAGUGAACGGAGUGGGAACCCUUGGGUGCACCAUCGACCGAUCCCGAUGUCUUCGGAAGGAUUUGAGUAAGACUAGUAGCUGGUUCCUGCCGAAGUUUCCCUCAGGAUAGCAGUAACGUUUUCAGUUUUAUGAGGUAAAGCGAAUGAUUAGAGGCCUUGGGGUUGAAACAACCUUAACCUAUUCUCAAACUUUAAAUAUGUAAGAAGUCCUUGUUACUUAAUUGAACGUGGACAUUUGAAUGCACCGUUACUAGUGGGCCAUUUUUGGUAAGCAGAACGGCGAUGCGGGAUGAACCGAACGCGAGGUUAAGGUGCCGGAAUGCACGCUCAUCAGACACCACAAAAGGUGUUAGUUCAUCUGGACAGCAGGACGGUGGCCAUGGAAGUCGGAACCCGCUAAGGAGUGUGUAACAACUCCCUGCCGAAUGAACUAGCCCUGAAAAUGGAUGGCGCUCAACGCGUGCUACCCAUACCUCGCCGCCCGGGUAGAUUCGAUGCCCGGGCGAGUAGGC
rnacentral:rRNA from 1 species